rnacentral:rRNA from 1 species
GAUGAACGCUGGCGGCGUGCCUAAUACAUGCAAGUCGAGCGAACAGACGAGGAGCUUGCUCCUCUGACGUUAGCGGCGGACGGGUGGGUAGCACGUGGAUAACCUACCUAUAAGACUGGGAUAACUUCGGGAAACCGGAGCUAAUACCGGAUAAUAUAUUGAACCGCAUGGUUCAAUAGUGAAAGACGGUUUUGCUGUCACUUAUAGAUGGAUCCGCGCCGCAUUAGCUAGUUGGUAAGGUAACGGCUUACCAAGGCAACGAUGCGUAGCCGACCUGAGAGGGUGAUCGGCCACACUGGAACUGAGACACGGUCCAGACUCCUACGGGAGGCAGCAGUAGGGAAUCUUCCGCAAUAGGCGAAAGCUUGACGGAGCAACGCCGCGUGAGUGAUGAAGGUCUUCGGAUCGUAAAACUCUGUUAUUAGGGAAGAACAAAUGUGUAAGUAACUAUGCACGUCUUGACGGUACCUAAUCAGAAAGCCACGGCUAACUACGUGC